AAAACUUUCAACAACGGAUCUCUUGGUUCCCGCAUCGAUGAAGAACGCAGCGAAAUGCGAAAAUUAAUGUGAAUUGCAGAAUUCCGUGAAUCAUCGAGUCUUUGAACGCACAUUGCGCCCCUUUGGUAUUCCGAAGGGCAUGCCUGUUCGAGCGUCAUUG
rnacentral:rRNA from 1 species